rnacentral:rRNA from 1 species
UACGGGGGGAGCAAGCGUUGUUCGGAUUUACUGGGCGUAAAGGGCGCGUAGGCGGCCACCGCAAGUCGAUUGUGAAAUCUCCGGGCUUAACCCGGAAAGGUCAACCGAUACUGCGGGGCUAGAGUGCAGAAGGGGCAACUGGAAUUCUCGGUGUAGCGGUGAAAUGCGUAGAUAUCGAGAGGAACACCUGCGGCGAAGGCGGGUUGCUGGGCUGACACUGACGCUGAGGAGCGAAAGCCAGGGGAGCAAACGGG